UAGAUUAAGUGUCUUGUCUUGUCCAAGGACAUAGACAGGUAGCAUGAGUAGGAUUUGAACCGAGGUCUAAAUAUUGACAGGCCAGCUCUUUAUCCGCUCAGCUAUCUGCCACUCUGAAAGUAGAAUUGAU